AGUGAACGCUGGCGGCGUGCCUAAUACAUGCAAGUCGAACGGAAUUUAAAAGAGCGUGCUCUUUUAAAUUUAGUGGCGCACGGGUGAGUAAUAUAUAGCUAAUCUGCCCCUUGCUGGAGGACAACAGUUAGAAAUGACUGCUAAUACUCCAUACUCCUUUUUACCAUAAGAUAAAUCGGGAAAGAAUUUCGGCAAGGGAUGAGACUAUAUCGUAUCAGCUAGUCGGUGGGGUAACGGCCUACCGAGGCUAUGACGCGUAACUGGUCUGAGAGGAUGAUCAGUCACAUUGGAACUGAGACACGGUCCAAACUCCUACGGGAGGCAGCAGUAGGGAAUAUUGCGCAAUGGGGGAAACCCUGACGCAGCAACGCCGCGUGGAGGAUGACACUUUUCGGAGCGUAAACUCCUUUUGUUAGGGAAGAAUAAUGACGGACCUAACGAAUAAGCACCGCA
rnacentral:rRNA from 1 species